rnacentral:rRNA from 1 species
UACGUAGGGGGCAAGCGUUGUCCGGAUUUAUUGGGCGUAAAGAGCGUGUAGGCGGCCUGAAAGGUCAGCUGUGAAAACUCGAGGCUCAACCUCGAGACGUCGGUUGAAACCAUCUGGCUAGAGUCCGGAAGAGGAGAGUGGAAUUCCCGGUGUAGCGGUGAAAUGCGCAGAUAUCAGGAGGAACACCAAUGGCGAAGGCAGCUCGCUGGGACGGUACUGACGCUGAGACGCGAAAGCGUGGGGAGCAAACAGG